AAAUUGAAGAGUUUGAUCAUGGCUCAGAUUGAACGCUGGCGGCAGGCCUAACACAUGCAAGUCGAGCGGUAGCACAGAGAGCUUGCUCUCGGGUGACGAGCGGCGGACGGGUGAGUAAUGUCUGGGAAACUGCCUGAUGGAGGGGGAUAACUACUGGAAACGGUAGCUAAUACCGCAUAAUGUCGCAAGACCAAAGUGGGGGACCUUCGGGCCUCAUGCCAUCAGAUGUGCCCAGAUGGGAUUAGCUAGUAGGUGGGGUAAUGGCUCACCUAGGCGACGAUCCCUAGCUGGUCUGAGAGGAUGACCAGCCACACUGGAACUGAGACACGGUCCAGACUCCUACGGGAGGCAGCAGUGGGGAAUAUUGCACAAUGGGCGCAAGCCUGAUGCAGCCAUGCCGCGUGUGUGAAGAAGGCCUUCGGGUUGUAAAGCACUUUCAGCGGGGAGGAAGGCGGUGAGGUUAAUAACCUCAUCGAUUGACGUUACCCGCAGAAGAAGCACCGGCUAACUCCGUGCCAGCAGCCGCGGUAAUACGGAGGGUGCAAGCGUUAAUCGGAAUUACUGGGCGUAAAGCGCACGCAGGCGGUCUGUCAAGUCGGAUGUGAAAUCCCCGGGCUCAACCUGGGAACUGCAUUCGAAACUGGCAGGCUAGAGUCUUGUAGAGGGGGGUAGAAUUCCAGGUGUAGCGGUGAAAUGCGUAGAGAUCUGGAGGAAUACCGGUGGCGAAGGCGGCCCCCUGGACAAAGACUGACGCUCAGGUGCGAAAGCGUGGGGAGCAAACAGGAUUAGAUACCCUGGUAGUCCACGCCGUAAACGAUGUCGAUUUGGAGGUUGUGCCCUUGAGGUGUGGCUUCCGGAGCUAACGCGUUAAAUCGACCGCCUGGGGAGUACGGCCGCAAGGUUAAAACUCAAAUGAAUUGACGGGGGCCCGCACAAGCGGUGGAGCAUGUGGUUUAAUUCGAUGCAACGCGAAGAACCUUACCUGGUCUUGACAUCCACAGAACUUUCCAGAGAUGGAUUGGUGCCUUCGGGAACUGUGAGACAGGUGCUGCAUGGCUGUCGUCAGCUCGUGUUGUGAAAUGUUGGGUUAAGUCCCGCAACGAGCGCAACCCUUAUCCUUUGUUGCCAGCGGUCCGGCCGGGAACUCAAAGGAGACUGCCAGUGAUAAACUGGAGGAAGGUGGGGAUGACGUCAAGUCAUCAUGGCCCUUACGACCAGGGCUACACACGUGCUACAAUGGCAUAUACAAAGAGAAGCGACCUCGCGAGAGCAAGCGGACCUCAUAAAGUAUGUCGUAGUCCGGAUUGGAGUCUGCAACUCGACUCCAUGAAGUCGGAAUCGCUAGUAAUCGUAGAUCAGAAUGCUACGGUGAAUACGUUCCCGGGCCUUGUACACACCGCCCGUCACACCAUGGGAGUGGGUUGCAAAAGAAGUAGGUAGCUUAACCUUCGGGAGGGCGCUUACCACUUUGUGAUUCAUGACUGGGGUGAAGUCGUAACAAGGUAACCGUAGGGGAACCUGCGGUUGGAUCACCUCCUUA
rnacentral:rRNA from 1 species